rnacentral:lncRNA from 1 species
CAAGGAUUAGAAGAAUAUCAAAGAAAAAAGGAAAAUGUUUAUAUAAGAUUAUCACCUUAAGCUGUUGAAUUAAGGUGCACAUCAAAAAUCUAUCCGAAAGGUUAUUUUUAUGUUUUCGAAAGCCAUUAAAUUGAUCAUCACGACAUCGAGAUGUGUGAAUAUAAAAAAAAAAAAGAGAUUUUCAUCUUGUAUAUAUCUGCUCGAUUUAAACUAUUUUUGGAGUUUGAAAUUUUAUAAUUAGAUAAAAAUAGAUUCUUGGGCCAUUGUAUAAAUUUUGACAUCAAAAUUGCAUAUUAUAAUAAAGGAAAAAGUUUAUAUUAGGAUGCUACCUUAUAAUGUAGAACUACGGAUACCCCUAAAAAAUCUAUCAGAAAAGGUAGUUUUAAUAUUGAAAAUUUUUUUGAUUGAUCAUCUCAACAUCGAGAUGAACGACUAUGAAAAAUAAAAAAAAUUUAAGUCUCAGAAAUAAUGCAUUUUACAACAUAUUAUCUACACUGUCCAUUGAUUUUC